GACGAGCCACACAAACGUUAUUCGGAAUUACUGGGCUUAAAGGGGUGCGUAGGCGGCGCGGAAAGUUGGGUGUGAAAGCCCUCGGCUCAACCGAGGAAUUGCGCCCAAAACUUCCGUGCUUGAGGAAGAUAGAGGUGAGCGGAACUCAGGGUGGAGCGGUGAAAUGCGUUGAUAUCCUGAGGAACACCGGUGGCGAAAGCGGCUCACUGGAUCUUUUCUGACGCUGAGGCACGAAAGCUAGGGUAGCGAACGGG
rnacentral:rRNA from 1 species